CCACCACCGGCACGCUCCGUGCUGCUGCCUCCGUGCCCAGCAGCGUGAAGGAAGCGUGGCAGCUUUGCUGUGUCUGUGGCUCCUGGCUGGCCUGCCGCUGCUCGCACCAACCCCUGCCUUUCGCCAGGGUCCCGGGCUGCCCGGCAGCGCUGGAUGUAAGGCAUAGCUCAAGCAGCACCCCCGUGAAAUUUCCUUGCAAACUUGUCCCCCACCUCUGGGAGAGGUGGGAGCGGGAGAGACCCCAGCCUUGGUUGGAGGGAUCCCAACCGAGAGCAGGCCAGGGGGAACGGAAAUCUCCCUGGCUCCUCAAGCCAUCUCCAUCACCCUCAUUUGCUUUCUGGACACAGAGACCACUAGGGAUUCAGCCAUCCUUUGUAGAUAGAAUAUUAUAGCCUUAACUCUGCCAAUAGAUAGAUUAGAGUCUUCUGGGGUCUCCCUGGUACACGACUUAGGGUUUUUAUUCUCAUUUCCUCAGUGUGGCCGCCAUUUCAUCUUGCAGGCAGUAUGACCAAAGCCCCCAGAACUGCAGGAGGUUCGGUUCCAGGAGCCCUGCUUUGCUGACACGGCCUGCUGCUCCGGCCCAGGCCUGUCCCCGACAGAAGGGCUGCCGGCAGCCGUGCCAGCAGCGGUGCCCACUCGUUUCUCACUGCUCUCAUGGAACUUGUGGUUCCAGCAGCACCAGCGAGGCGGUGGCACAGCUCUGCUGGUUCCCACACCUGCCACCAGAGCUGGUCAUGUCCUCGUGCCACUUGGCUCUCAGCCCGGAGCAAGGGCCGAGGUCCCUCCUGCCACAGGCCGUCCCCACUCCUGUCUCCGACCCAGCAUACACGAGUAACCCUGGCCGAGACUGAGCAUCUGCUAUUGGCAAUUGCCUCAUUGUAGCUUUGCCUUUUUCUGUCCUAGUAUUUCCUCACAACGAUGAUGUUUACAUGUGAUUGCUAUAGAGCUUAUGUAGAAUGUAUAUAGCGACACAUUUAGGGUGGGUAGUACUGUCCUGUGCUGUGCUGAUGUUUUUCAGAAAACGAUCAAUCCAAAAAAAAAAACAAAAAACAAAAAACAACAACAAAAAAAAAAAAAACCACAAAAAAAUACAAGGCCAAGUGGAAUUCUUCCAUCUCCUCCUUGCUCAGCCAUGGGAGCGAGCCCCAGGCUGCUCCCAGCUGGAGGAUGCAUCAAGCCUGGCAGAGGGGAAGGGCAAGCGCCGUGGGGCUGCUGGGUCCCCGAGGACCCCCCUGAGGCAGCCCCCAGGUGCAUUGCCGGCGUUGGUUUCUGUGAGCCCCCAUCCAAAAUUUGAUGUUUCUUUCCUGUGGCUUCCCGUGCCAUCGCGGUGCUUCUGCACAGGGGCACGGCGCUCCCUGCAAAUGGGAACCUCGUAACGCACAGAGCCAAUCAGUACUGCAGUCGUAGGAUAGGAAGAGAUGCAAUAAGUGGUCUUUGUGUUGCCUGAAGCCUAUAAGUGGAUUUUUUGUUGUCGUUUGGGGGUUUUCCUUUCUUUCCCCCCCCCCCCUCUCCCUUGAAUUCGGACGGCUCAUUGUCCCUCUCCCCUUGAGAAAUGUCUCCUGCACUGAUGCAAUACGCACACAGGUGCUCAGGCACCCUCCUCGCCAGCCCCCACGCCUCCCCCCCAGUUUAGGAUUUGGUGAGCGCAGAGCGUUUCAGCCUGAGAAGCACAGGUGUGGCUGCCUGCCGGCUGGGUUCAGAGUCUCUCACGCAGGGGUAGUGGUGAAAAAUAAGUUUCCACUGGAGUUUUAUUUUUUUAAUGGAAAGGUUUCGUUUGCUCGCAGCGCCCAGGGGCGAGGAGGGGCCAAGGAGAGCUCGCUCCAUUCAGGGACUGAGGCUGCUCUGGGUGCAGGGAAGGGCCCCCGCGCCCCUCGCCUCUGGGACACAGCCCAGAGAAACUGGGAGCAAAGGGUAUAUUAGGGUAGGCAAUAAGUAAGGAGGAGAUUUAUUUUUCUAAGAAGUAUAUAGCUCUAGAAUGUCCCCCGAUAGCUGCCUGUGAGUACUGUGGGGAGAUGCUAAACGUGAAGAGUUUGAUGAUGAAAUGCCCUUCCGCUUUUUUUGCACAGAUUUGCCCCAUAAAAUCUUGCUGUUCAGGGUGGAAUACCAGGUUUCCUGGCUGGAAUCCAGCGGGCCCCUGGGGCUCCGUAGGAGAGGAGCCGAUGUUUCCGAGCCUGGGCUGAAUGCAGAGGACAAUCCCGGGUGUUAGGUUUGAUGAUGUGUAGUUUGAUGCUGCCCCAAAGAUGAGGUUCAUCCCGACUCCUCAUCAGCGCAGCUCGCUGGGCUGCGUGCCUUCCCUACAGGAGCAGCAGCUGAGCCGCUGCGUUGCAGGCUGAGUGCCUGACUUCAGCACAGGUCCGUGCGGAGCUGCAUCACAGACCCGUGUUUGAAUUUUUUUGGAUUGCAUUCUUUCCUUCUGGCGUUGUGCCGAAUGACGAACUCCAUCGUUGUUCGUAGCCGAGCCCUGAAGCCCUUUCUGUCCUAUCUCCGUCCGUCCCGACAAUCUCAAGCAAUAUGAACCAAACUCAGCCUUCGGGCUCCAUUCCUCAUCCCCGGAGCCGUGGCCAUCACAGCGCGGGCACCGCCAGCACCGCCCCGCAUGGCCGGGGGCCGUAUGCGUGUGCGAGAGAGGCAGGUGAAAGAGAUGCAUUUCUCGAGAAAGGUGUAAGAAUUUCACCUAAAAAGGGGCACAUCUGCUUUGUUAUUUAUAAUUAAACCUAAAGUCUUUUUUUCUUUUUCUUUCUUUCUUUUUUUUUUUUUAAUUAACGAAAAGGACACUGCUAAUAAUUACUAGGGGCCAAUUCUGCCCCUUCCUCGUGCUGAGCCAGCACUGCUUCACUCUGCGAUUUCCUGCUCGCAGAGUGAGCCGGAGUGGCAGAGUUGGUCCCCCCAUGAUUAAGAAUCGAGUUUUUAGUCUGUUUUUUUUUUUUAAUUGGUAGCCGUUUUUUAUAUUUCACUUUUUUGUUCUCCCCCCCCCCCCCCCCCCGGUUCCGUUCCGUUGUGUCCUUAUUUAUGUAAUAUACUUUAACCUUAAAAGAUGGCAUGGAUUCCUAUGCCUUUCCUUUAUUAUUAUUGUUAUUAUUUUUAAACAGAGAUUUAUUUCUAGUGUGAUUUAACUGUCUACCUUCUAAAACGAGAGAACGUUUUCUUGUAUUUUUACAUUGUCAGAUUCUAUAGUUUCCUAGAUAAUUUAACCAAAUCGCUCGAUGUAUUAUCUAUAUCUAUCCGGUGGGUAUAAAAGUUCUAUUUUAAAUUGUGUAAAUACUUCAGAACUGGCUUCUUUUUCCAGACUCCCCUGCUGCGGAGUUACUUGUUUACAUCACAAAGACUGUAGAAUCUCUACGCUCAUGUACUGUAAAUAGUGAAGUGAUCUGCCUAUAAAUAAACGAUAACGUAUAUACUACAGACUGGGAAACAAAGCAAUAACGAGCAACAAGUCUGUGCUGCUGCUGUGUCAGGGUACCGAGCAGGUGCUCCGUGUGGCAGGACGUGGCAGUGGGCUGGUGGGGAUGUGCACUGGCCUGCAUGAUGGGACACGGGGCCGUGGGGUUGUGCACAAACUCCAACGGUUACCCUCAUCCAUGUGAGGAAAAGGCAACAGAAACAAAGAAACACAACAAAACCAGCACAGCGGUUUGCUAUUUUGGCAUAGCUUUCUGGUAAACCAACUCCUCACACACCUGGGAACACAUUUGUAGCUGAGGUGCCUGCUCUGUCAGUCAGACAAAACCAGAGAGCAGGCACAGCUUGCCCUGUGGGAGGGAGAGGGGCCAGCGACUGGCUGCUGUGCAUGGGGACAGCCUCUGAUGCUGACCUUGGCUGGCUGGCGUCUGCCCAGCGAGGGCAGCAUCUUCAGCAUCUUCUGAAUGCCUGACCUUGAGCAGGGCUGGCUGUGCUCUGAGCUCCCAGCCCUGCAGAGGAACUCAGCACUGGCACUGUGAGGUCCCGGCCAGGGCUCUGGAGCCCACAUUUGCCCACAUAGCAUUUCUCCAUCCUGGCUUGCUGGCCAGAUCUGACGGGUGCCUUUACAGGGAGGACUGGGGAACGGUCUGGUUUCUUUGCCUCCUGCAGGCUCAGGGACCUCUGCCUUACUCUCCCAGUGUCACUGAUCUCUGCCAGCAGCUGCUGCCUGUCGCGCCUGCACAUGACCCCCAUCUUGCUGUUCUUUGCUCUGCCAAGCUUUGCUCUCUCUAUAUACCACCUGUGGAUGCUGUUUCCUCUGCUCACUGUGAGCUUUCAGGGGCCGGUGGAGAGCUUGCUCUAGAUGCUGCCCCUUGUGGGUUCCACAAUCUGUUCCUUCUUUCUCUUCCCCUCAGUCCUUGGCUGGAUACAUUUUAGUUUUUCAUACACCAUCUCUACCUCCAAGUACCUCUUCAAACUCGCACUUGGAUCCCUCACACUUCUCAGCAGCCUCCUGCAGUUUGACUUCCACAAGGACCUCGCAUGUGCAGAGCACCGAAGAAAUGGCAGCUGGAUGCUGAGCAGAGCCGUGCAGGGAGCUGCCCUCCACCAGCCUGUGGGGCAGCAAAGGGAUCUCCGCACUGCCCUCACAACAGUGAACAUGUUAGAGGGAAACCAUCUCCACUGCAGCAGUGCACGUGUCCUGGAUGUAAUCCUGCCAAAAAAGGAGCAUGAGGUGCCCCGGGCUCUCAGCAAUACCCUGGAGCACAGAGGAUUUACUACUUGUGCAGAAGCUAUUGGAGAAGAGGAACUAGAUUUACCUGCACCCUGCCACACUCCGACCAUGAUUUGUAUCUGCUCAUGUUGAUUUGUAUCACAAGGAGUUUUCAUUUCAGCGAGUUUGCAAAAUAUCAGCAUCUGCCCGGAGAGAGGCAGUGCAAGGAUUCAGCUCACUGCUGCUGAACGGGCAAACUCCCAGGUGAAAGCCUGUGUUCUCUUCACCAACAUCUCCAUCUUUCACUGCGAUCCGCUCAUUUCAGGUCCAGUCAGGAACUCAGCUGUCCAAGGAGAACAGAGAACUCGUGCUUCCACCCGGACCAGGAGCGUUCCUCCUGUGGCCAGCCUGGCUCCGGUUGGUACACGUGGCUGUUCUGAGGGACACGCAAGACAUGGCGAUGGGCUGUCACUGCCAUGCCAAGGGGAACACAGGCCAAAGAGAAGAAUUGAAAAGCCUGUUUGGCUGAGGCAGCACACUGUUGUGCCACGCGGGCCGCCACAAAGACAGCCCAGGAGAUAUCAGCAGAUUAUUUACGGUGGUCAUUACCUGCAGCUUCCAGCACCUUCUGGCUAUCCAAACUUAGGGAGGAAAUUAGGGAGAUUAAUUCUUUCUUCAGUGAAAAGAUUAAUAACUCUAAUUAAUUGAGGGUAAGAAAACCAGAUUGCAGGGCAGUACUGAAAAAAUAAACUAUAGACCCCUAUACAGGAGCAAAAAAAUAAUGAUAAAGGACCCCGAGCACUUGGGAAUGAGAAGUGUACAGAAGUGGGCCAAAGUCACAAGCAAGCACUGGGGAGCAUACAGUGGGC
ensembl:lncRNA